AGAGUUUGAUCCUGGCUCAGGAUGAACGCUGGCGGCGUGCCUAAUACAUGCAAGUCGAGCGAACAGAUAAGGAGCUUGCUCCUUUGAAGUUAGCGGCGGACGGGUGAGUAACACGUGGGUAACCUACCUAUAAGACUGGGAUAACUUCGGGAAACCGGAGCUAAUACCGGAUAACAUUUAGAACCGCAUGGUUCUAAAGUGAAAGAUGGUUUUGCUAUCACUUAUAGAUGGACCCGCGCCGUAUUAGCUAGUUGGUAAGGUAACGGCUUACCAAGGCGACGAUACGUAGCCGACCUGAGAGGGUGAUCGGCCACACUGGAACUGAGACACGGUCCAGACUCCUACGGGAGGCAGCAGUAGGGAAUCUUCCGCAAUGGGCGAAAGCCUGACGGAGCAACGCCGCGUGAGUGAUGAAGGGUUUCGGCUCGUAAAACCCUGUUAUUAGGGAAGAACAAAUGUGUAAGUAACUGUGCACAUCUUGACGGUACCUAAUCAGAAAGCCACGGCUAACUACGUG
rnacentral:rRNA from 1 species